UACGUAGGGAGCAAGCGUUGUCCGGAUUUAUUGGGCGUAAAGAGCUCGUAGGCGGCUUAGAAAGUCAGGUGUGAAACCUCCAGGCUCAACCUGGAGACGCCACUUGAUACUUCUAUGGCUUGAGUUCGGUAGGGGUAAGCGGAAUUCCUGGUGUAGCGGUGAAAUGCGCAGAUAUCAGGAGGAACACCGGUGGCGAAGGCGGGUCUCUGGGCCGUAACUGACGCUGAGGAGCGAAAGCGUGGGGAGCGAACAGG
rnacentral:rRNA from 1 species